rnacentral:rRNA from 1 species
GAUAAACGCUGGCGGCGUGCUUAACACAUGCAAGUCGAACGAAGUUUUUCCUUCGGGGGGAACUUAGUGGCGGACGGGUGAGUAACGCGUGGGUAACCUGCCCUGUACAGGGGGACAACAGCUGGAAACGGCUGCUAAUACCGCAUAAGCCCUUAGCACUGCAUGGUGCAUAGGGAAAAGGAGCAAUCCGGUACAGGAUGGACCCGCGUCUGAUUAGCCAGGUGGCAGGGUAACGGCCUACCAAAGCGACGAUCAGUAGCCGAUCGGUGAGGAGGUACGGCUACAUUGGGACUGAGACACGGCCCAGAAUCCGACGGGAGGGAGCAGUGGGGAAUAUUGUACAAGGGAGGAAGAUCUGAUGAAGCGGCGCCGCGUGAGUGAAGAAGUAGUUCGGUAUGUAAAGCCCUAUCAGCAGGGGAGAAAAUGACGGUACCUGACAAAGAAGCACCGGCUAAAUACGUG